AGUGAACGCUGGCGGUAGGCCUAACACAUGCAAGUCGAACGGCAGCACAGUAAGAGCUUGCUCUUACGGGUGGCGAGUGGCGGACGGGUGAGGAAUACAUCGGAAUCUACUUUUUCGUGGGGGAUAUCGUAGGGAAACUUACGCUAAUACCGCAUACGACCUACGGGUGAAAGCAGGGGAUCUUCGGACCUUGCGCGAUUGAAUGAGCCGAUGUCGGAUUAGCUAGUUGGCGGGGUAAAGGCCCACCAAGGCGACGAUCCGUAGCUGGUCUGAGAGGAUGAUCAGCCACACUGGAACUGAGACACGGUCCAGACUCCUACGGGAGGCAGCAGUGGGGAAUAUUGGACAAAGGGCGCAAGCCUGAUCCAGCCAUACCGCGUGAGUGAAGAAGGCCUUCGGGUUGUAAAGCCCUUUUGUUGGGAAAGAAAAGCAGCAGGUUAAUACCCCGCUGUUCUGACGGUACCCAAAGAAUAAGCACCGGCUAACUUCGUG
rnacentral:rRNA from 1 species